rnacentral:rRNA from 1 species
AGGUAAGCUACUAAGAGCGAAUGGUGGAUGCCUUGACUGGUAAAGGCGAUGAAGGACGUACUAGACUGCGAUAAGCUACGGGGAGCUGUCAAGAAGCUUUGAUCCGUAGAUUUCCGAAUGGGGCAACCCAAUGUAUAGAGAUAUACAUUACCUAUAUAGGAGCGAACGAGGGGAAUUGAAACAUCUUAGUACCCUCAGGAAAAGAAAUCAAUAGAGAUUGCGUCAGUAGCGGCGAGCGAAAGCGUAAGAGGGCAAACCCAGUGCUUGCACUGGGGGUUGUAGGACUGCAAUGUGCAAGAGGUGAGUUUAGCAGAACAUUCUGGAAAGUAUAGCCAUAGAGGGUGAUAGUCCCGUAUGCGAAAAACAAACCUUAGCUAGCAGUAUCCUGAGUAGGGCGGGACACGAGAAAUCCUGUCUGAAGCUGGGUCGACCACGAUCCAACCCUAAAUACUAAUACCAGAUCGAUAGUGCACAAGUACCGUGAGGGAAAGGUGAAAAGAACUGAGGUGAUCAGAGUGAAAUAGAACCUGAAACCAUUUGCUUACAAUCAUUCAGAGCACUAUGUAGCAAUACAGUGUGAUGGACUGCCUUUUGCAUAAUGAGCCUGCGAGUUGUGGUGUCUGGCAAGGUUAAGCAAACGCGAAGCCGUAGCGAAAGCGAGUCUGAAUAGGGCGCUUAGUCAGAUGCUGCAGACCCGAAACGAAGUGAUCUAUCCAUGAGCAAGUUGAAGCUAGUGUAAGAACUAGUGGAGGACUGAACCCAUAGGCGUUGAAAAGCCCCGGGAUGACUUGUGGAUAGGGGUGAAAGGCCAAUCAAACUUCGUGAUAGCUGGUUCUCUCCGAAAUAUAUUUAGGUAUAGCGUUGUGUCGUAAUAUAAGGGGGUAGAGCACUGAAUGGGCUAGGGCAUACACCAAUGUACCAAACCCUAUCAAACUCCGAAUACCUUAUAUGUAAUCACAGCAGUCAGGCGGCGAGUGAUAAAAUCCGUCGUCAAGAGGGAAACAACCCAGACUACCAGCUAAGGUCCCUAAAUCUUACUUAAGUGGAAAACGAUGUGAAGUUACUUAAACAACCAGGAGGUUGGCUUAGAAGCAGCCAUCCUUUAAAGAAAGCGUAAUAGCUCACUGGUCUAGUGAUUUUGCGCGGAAAAUAUAACGGGGCUAAAGUAAGUACCGAAGCUGUAGACUUGAUUUUAUCAAGUGGUAGGAGAGCGUUCUAUUUGCGCCGAAGGUAUACCGGUAAGGAGUGCUGGAGCGAAUAGAAGUGAGCAUGCAGGCAUGAGUAGCGAUAAUUAAUGUGAGAAUCAUUAACGCCGUAAACCCAAGGUUUCCUACGCGAUGCUCGUCAUCGUAGGGUUAGUCGGGUCCUAAGUCGAGUCCGAAAGGGGUAGACGAUGGCAAAUUGGUUAAUAUUCCAAUACCAACAUUAGUGUGCGAUGGAAGGACGCUUAGGGCUAAGGGGGCUAGCGGAUGGAAGUGCUAGUCUAAGGUCGUAGGAGGUUAUACAGGCAAAUCCGUAUAACAUACUCCGAGAACUGAAAGGCUUUUUGAAGUCUUCGGAUGGAUAGAAGAACCCCUGAUGCCGUCGAGCCAAGAAAAGUUUCUAAGUUUAGCUAAUGUUGCCCGUACCGUAAACCGACACAGGUGGGUGGGAUGAGUAUUCUAAGGCGCGUGGAAGAACUCUCUUUAAGGAACUCUGCAAAAUAGCACCGUAUCUUCGGUAUAAGGUGUGGUUCGCUUCGUAUUAGGAUUUACUCCGAAAGCGAAGAAACUUACAACAAAGAGUCCCUCCCGACUGUUUACCAAAAACACAGCACUCUGCUAACUCGUAAGAGGAUGUAUAGGGUGUGACGCCUGCCCGGUGCUCGAAGGUUAAUUGAUGGGGUUAGCAUUAGCGAAGCUCUUGAUCGAAGCCCGAGUAAACGGCGGCCGUAACUAUAACGGUCCUAAGGUAGCGAAAUUCCUUGUCGGUUAAAUACCGACCUGCAUGAAUGGCGUAACGAGAUGGGAGCUGUCUCAAAGAGGGAUCCAGUGAAAUUGUAGUGGAGGUGAAAAUUCCUCCUACCCGCGGCAAGACGGAAAGACCCCGUGGACCUUUACUACAGCUUGACACUGCUAUUUGGAUAAGAAUGUGCAGGAUAGGUGGGAGGCUUUGAGUAUAUGACGCCAGUUGUAUAUGAGCCAUUGUUGAGAUACCACUCUUUCUUAUUUGGGUAGCUAACCAGCUUGAGUUAUCCUCAAGUGGGACAAUGUCUGGUGGGUAGUUUGACUGGGGCGGUCGCCUCCCAAAUAAUAACGGAGGCUUACAAAGGUUGGCUCAGAACGGUUGGAAAUCGUUCGUAGAGUAUAAAGGUAUAAGCCAGCUUAACUGCAAGACAUACAAGUCAAGCAGAGACGAAAGUCGGUCUUAGUGAUCCGGUGGUUCUGUGUGGAAGGGCCAUCGCUCAAAGGAUAAAAGGUACCCCGGGGAUAACAGGCUGAUCUCCCCCAAGAGCUCACAUCGACGGGGAGGUUUGGCACCUCGAUGUCGGCUCAUCGCAUCCUGGGGCUGGAGCAGGUCCCAAGGGUAUGGCUGUUCGCCAUUUAAAGCGGUACGCGAGCUGGGUUCAGAACGUCGUGAGACAGUUCGGUCCCUAUCUGCCGUGGGCGUAAGAAGAUUGAAGAGAUUUGACCCUAGUACGAGAGGACCGGGUUGAACAAACCACUGGUGUAGCUGUUGUUCUGCCAAGAGCAUCGCAGCGUAGCUAAGUUUGGAAAGGAUAAACGCUGAAAGCAUCUAAGCGUGAAGCCAACUCUAAGAUGAAUCUUCUCUAAGCUCUCUAGAAGACUACUAGUUUGAUAGGCUGGGUGUGUAAUGGAUGAAAGUCCUUUAGCUGACCAGUACUAAUAGAGCGUUUGGCUUAUCUUU